GGACCCGCACAAGCGGUGGAGCAUGUGGUUUAAUUCGAUGCAACGCGAAGAACCUUACCUGGUCUUGACAUCCUGCGAACUUUCUAGAAAUAGAUUGGUGCCUUCGGGAACGCAGUGACAGGUGCUGCAUGGCUGUCGUCAGCUCGUGUCGUGAGAUGUUGGGUUAAGUCCCGUAACGAGCGCAACCCCUAUCCUUAUUUGCCAGCACAUCAUGGUGGGAACUAUAAGGAGACUGCCGGUGAUAAACCGGAGGAAGGCGGGGACGACGUCAAGUCAUCAUGGCCCUUACGACCAGGGCUACACACGUGCUACAAUGGGAAGGACAAAGAGCCGCGAAGCCGCGAGGUGUAGCUAAUCUCAUAAACCUAGUCGUAGUCCGGAUCGGAGUCUGCAACUCGACUCCGUG
rnacentral:rRNA from 1 species